AACUUUAUUGAGUGGUUCCAUAAGUAAACAGUUUCAAGUGAAAGACAUGUUGUAUGGACCGACAGAUAAUCUCAAGCUGAGUUGAGUGGAGCACUGUAAUCCUGAGUUUCCCCUUCACGGUUCUGGAACACGAUCACGUAAAGCGCAUAGAUUAUCCCUGGGAUGUAGCCUAAGAUAGUCAACACCAAGCAUAUCAAGAACUCUACCUGCAACACCAAACAAAACCAGAGUGAACACAAAACCAUUCAAAACUCGGUUACCAAAACAAAAGGAAAAGGAGAACUCUUACAGUGCAACAGCCACGCUUGAGGCAGACUCCAAGAGGUGGAAGAAGGAUCGCUAUUAAGAUCUCGCAGAAAACUUCCAUAUUGCUUGCCAUUUUUUCUCAGAGAUGACAAGAAACUGUUAAAGAUUAUUUGAUCUUUUAUAAUGAAAUAAUGGAGAAGAGAGAACAUUAAAAGUUGCCUCUACAGGGAUCCAGUGAAGCGCAAUCCACGCUCCUGAAAAGUCAGCUACGAGAUCUUCACCGUUCAUUUAUCGAAAUUAAUUUUAAAUCGUGUGGCUUCCCAUAAGGAACUGAAUGAUUCGACUUGUUUCAGCAUCCUCAAGCAAUUCCUUCACUUGAUCACAGUUACAUUUCUUCACAAGAGACGAUUUUGUGUUCGCAAGUUACUCCCAUAACGUCUUCUUCUUGGUAAAGUAUGUAGAUAGAUCUGAAUCACCUUGCUUGAGCGUCAUCACUGCCUGUUCAAGUUGAUACUUCCGCGGUAGAUUAUUGACUUUGAAACCUGAACAAAUCAUCCCACAUCUCUGCUGCAUCUUCAUAGUAAAGAAUACUAUCAUAGAUCUCCUUAUUAACCACAUUCAAGAGCCACGAUUUCACCAUGCUAUUACAACGACUCCAUAUCUUGAAAUAGCGAUCAUCAACAGAAGGUCUAAUCAAAGAUCCGUCUACGAAACCUAACUUGUUCUUCGCAUCGAGACUAAUCUUCAUCGCAAUUGACCAGCUAUUGUAAUUCGUUCCAUCAAGAGUAUGAGAGACAAUAGAUAGACCUGGAUGAUCGGCGGAAUGAAGGAAGAAGGGACUAUGAGUACUAUCAUACGAUUCCGUUGGCAUCGGCGUCAAACUAACUCCGUCGCGAAUCACCGAGCAGCAAAAUUGUUGAUAUUUUGCGGAAAUUUCAUCAGGUUCAUCGCGAUUCGGUGUGAUUGAUCUCGUACGAACCUCAAAACCUUGAUCUUCAUCGUUGAAGUUCCGAUUCUUCAGUUUUACGCCACGCUUCACCAUUUCCGACCCGAUCGAGCUCAAAGGAGGAGAAUCAACCGGUAGAGAAUCGAUAUUGAGGUGAAUCGGAGCUGGAAAACACUCAGAGAAUCGAGAAAUCACGAAGAAUCAACAAGCGAAGCGAAAGAUCGCUCUGAUACCAUAUUAGAGAAACAGAAUCUGUUUGUGGAAAAUGAAUUCUAUUCUCAUUAACCGUCAAAUGUAGCUUACAUGGAGUUUAUAUACACUUGCGUUUAACCAUAGUAAACCACACAUAAUAGAAUUGAAUCUAAUCUACUCUAAACCGGACUAAACCGACCAUAUACAUUAAUAUUUUUCUCAGAAGAUGUACAACAAAACGUUUAAGAGAUAAAGACUUUUUAUCUUUAUUAUAAUGAAGUUUGACGGAGAUCUUGAAGAGACAGAACACUGAUAGUUGUUUGUGGUUACAAAGUCAAUAACGAGAUCUGAACCGUUCAUUUAUAGAUGUUUUUUAAUCGUACGGCUACUGUUUACUUCUCGUGGUAUCACUUCUAGAUACUCCUUUAUUUUUUCCAGCCUCCACGUGGAUUAUAUAAGUAACACGUACAGAGUAAUAUUGUGUAACGUAACACACACGAUCACUUCUAGAUAUUUUGAACUCUCCCCUCAACCGUGUGACAUGCGUAACUAGAGUGGGCCUAAAAGGCCCGUCUUAAGUUUAAAUCUGGACUUUGAUUACAAAAGAUUAUACAUGUGAUGAGAGAUCUGUGAUGCAUGUCCGUGCGUGCGUCGGUGCGUGCCAAUAGUGAAAGAAAUAAUCAGUACAUGAAAUUGCCAUACUUGAAUUACAUAUAACAAGGAAUCAGAUAAUUGCAACUUUAUUGAGUGGUUACAUAAGUAAACAGUUUCAAGUGAAAGACAUGUUGUAUGGACCGACAGAUAAUCUCAAGCUGAGUUGAGUGGAGCACUGUAAUCCUGAGUUUCCCCUUCACGGUUCUGGAACACGAUCACGUAAAGCGCAUAGAUUAUCCCUGGGAUGUAGCCUAAGAUAGUCAACACCAAGCAUAUCAAGAACUCUAC
rnacentral:lncRNA from 1 species